CACCACUCAAGCCUCGCUUGGUAUUGGGCGAUGCGGUCCGCCGCACGCCUCAAAUCGACCGGCUGGGUCGAUCGCACCCUCAGCGUUGUGGAAACUAUUCGCUAAAGGGAUCGUGGUCGGUCACGCCGUGAAACAAACCAAUUUUCAAU
rnacentral:misc_RNA from 1 species